GUACUCGAGCGGCGAACGGGUGAGUAACACGUGAGCAACCUGCCCUAGGCUUUGGGAUAACCCUCGGAAACGGGGGCUAAUACCGAAUAUGACCUCGCAUCGCAUGGUGUGUGGUGGAAAGUUUUUCGGCCUGGGAUGGGCUCGCGGCCUAUCAGCUUGUUGGUGGGGUGAUGGCCUACCAAGGCGACGACGGGUAGCCGGCCUGAGAGGGCGACCGGCCACACUGGGACUGAGACACGGCCCAGACUCCUACGGGAGGCAGCAGUGGGGAAUAUUGCACAAUGGGCGGAAGCCUGAUGCAGCGACGCCGCGUGAGGGAUGACGGCCUUCGGGUUGUAAACCUCUUUCAGCAGGGACGAAGCGUAAGUGACGGUACCUGCAGAAGAAGCGCCGGCCAACUACGUGCCAGCAGCCGCGGUAAGACGUAGGGCGCGAGCGUUGUCCGGAUUUAUUGGGCGUAAAGAGCUCGUAGGCGGCUUGUCGCGUCGACCGUGAAAACC
rnacentral:rRNA from 1 species